AGAGCGAACGCUGGCGGCAGGCCUAACACAUGCAAGUCGAGCGCCCGUAGCAAUACGGGAGCGGCAGACGGGAUAGUAACACGUGGGAACGCGCCCUUCGGUUCGGAAUAACUCAGGGAAACUUGAGCUAAUACCGAAUACGCCCUUACGGGGGAAGAUUUAUUGCCGAAGGAACGGCCCGCGUCCGAUUAGCUAGUUGGUGAGGUAAUGGCUCACCAAGGCUACGAUCGGUAGCUGGUCUGAGAGGAUGACCAGCAUCACUGGGACUGAGACACGGCCCAGACUCCUACGGGAGGCAGCAGUGGGGAAUAUUGGACAAUGGGCGCAAGCCUGAUCCAGCCAUGCCGCGUGGAUGAUGAAGGCCUUAGGGUUGUAAAGUCCUUUUAACGGGGAAGAUAAUGACGGUACCCGUAGAAUAAGCCCCGGCUAACUUCGUGCCAGCAGCCGC
rnacentral:rRNA from 1 species